rnacentral:snoRNA from 1 species
AUCCUCCAGAUUCUUCACCAGUCAGACACGAACACCAGUGUGAGCGGCUAUAAGAGGAGGGAGAUUGAAAUGGAAGCUGAUUUAAAUUCCGCUGUGACACACUAGCUAGUUUCCAACAAAC